rnacentral:tRNA from 1 species
GAAGACGUAGCUCAAUCGGGAGAGCGCCGGAUUGUCUAUCCGGAUGUUGCGGGUUCGAGUCCCGUCGUCUUCGCCA